rnacentral:tRNA from 1 species
UCCGGCGUGGUCUAGUGGCUAGGAUACCUGGCUUUUACCCAGGAGGCCCGGGUUCGAAUCCCGGCGUUGGAA